GCUAGGUGCAGUGGUGCACACCUGUAAUCCCAGCACCUUGGGAGGCUGAGGCAGGAAGAUCGCAAGUUUGAGGUUAGCCUUAGCAAUUUAGCAAGGGAGGCCCUAAGCAACUUAGUGAGACCCUGUCUAAA
rnacentral:sRNA from 1 species